rnacentral:tRNA from 1 species
GAUAGCCUAGUGGACAUGGCAUCUGCCCGGUAAACGGAACACUGUGAGUUCGAUUCCCACACACAAACA